rnacentral:misc_RNA from 1 species
AAUUGAUCCCCUCUAUGGUGAUGCAAUUAAUGACGACAGCUCACUUAUCCAGAUGCAGGGGAAUUCAAAUAGACUGCUGUUGCAACAUCAUUCAGGUGAGAGCAGUGAAUCUCAUCACCGAGAUCUGACCCAGGAUGCUCACGUGUGGAAGGAUAUGCUGGAUCACUAUGGGGUUUCUGCAGCUGCUGAAUCACAAACCAAAUAUUUGCACAAGCUGGAUGAGAAUGCAAUGCUUCAAACCUUAUCAGAGAGAAGGGCCAUAGAAGCAUAUGAAAGUUACAAGUGGCGUGAUUUCAGUGACAAGGAGACGCAGACUGCUCCUGUACAAGCUUUUAAGCAACUCGAAGAUUUCAAGUAUCCUACAUAUCCUCCUGAUAUCACUACUUUUGGAUCCAACCCUGACGAAUAUACAACAAUAUUUG